AUUGAACGCUGGCGGCAGGCUUAACACAUGCAAGUCGAGCGAGCGGCGGACGGGUGAGUAAUGUCUGGGAAACUGCCUGAUGGAGGGGGAUAACGACUGGAAACGGUAGCUAAUACCGCAUACCAUCAGAUGUGCCCAGAUGGGAUUAGCUAGUAGGUGGGGGAAUGGCUCACCUAGGCGACGAUCCCUAGCUGGUCUGAGAGGAGGACCAUCCACCCUGGAACUUAGACACGGUCCAGACUCCUACGGGAGGCAGCGGUGGGUAAUAUUGCACAAUGGGCGCAAGCCUUCUGCAGCCAUGCCGCGUGUGUGAAGACGGCCUUCGGGUUGUAAAGCACUUUCCGCGAGGAGGCGUUACUCGCAGAAGAAGCACCGGCUAACUCCGUGCCAGCAGCCGCGGUAAUUC
rnacentral:rRNA from 1 species